GAAAGUCAGGCCGGGAAGUUCCCGCCACCGGAAGUUGAGUAGACGGUGCUGCCUGCGACUCAACCCCAAGGAGGACUGGGU
rfam:West Nile virus isolate WNV-1/TS/BID-V4355/2006, complete genome